rnacentral:rRNA from 1 species
GAUGAACGCUGGCGGCGUGCCUAAUACAUGCAAGUCGAGCGAACAGACGAGGAGCUUGCUCCUCUGACGUUAGCGGCGGACGGGUGAGUAACACGUGGAUAACCUACCUAUAAGACUGGGAUAACUUCGGGAAACCGGAGCUAAUACCGGAUAAUAUAUUGAACCGCAUGGUUCAAUAGUGAAAGUCGGUUUUGCUGUCACUUAUAGAUGGAUCCGCGCCGCAUUAGCUAGUUGGUAAGGUAACGGCUUACCAAGGCAACGAUGCGUAGCCGACCUGAGAGGGUGAUCGGCCACACUGGAACUGAGACACGGUCCAGACUCCUACGGGAGGCAGCAGUAGGGAAUCUUCCGCAAUGGGCGAAAGCCUGACGGAGCAACGCCGCGUGAGUGAUGAAGGUCUUCGGAUCGUAAAACUCUGUUAUUAGGGAAGAACAAAUGUGUAAGUAACUAUGCACGUCCUGACGGUACCUAAUCAGAAAGCCACGGCUAACUACGUG